CCAAUGUUUUAAGAACCGGACCGGAGGUCGAACCGUUGUGACAACUGGUUCAAGGGUCAACCGGUCGGAUCAGUUCAACCGUUAUUGAACCGUUUAUAUUGAACCGUUCAUAUAAUUUUUUCACGUGUUUGAGUCUAUGGUUGGAAAGGAAAGAUUUUUGAUUUUUUAACCUUUCAAUUUCAAUCCAUCGUUUUUUUUAAUUA
rnacentral:lncRNA from 1 species